rnacentral:rRNA from 1 species
AUUGAACGCUGGCGGCAUGCCUUACACAUGCAAGUCGAACGGCAGCACGGGAGCAAUCCUGGUGGCGAGUGGCGAACGGGUGAGUAAUAUAUCGGAACGUGCCCAGUCGUGGGGGAUAACGCAGCGAAAGCUGUGCUAACACCGCAUACGAUCUAUGGAUGAAAGCGGGGGAUCGCAAGACCUCGCGCGAUUGGAGCGGCCGAUAUCAGAUUAGCUAGUUGGUGAGGUAAAGGCUCACCAAGGCGACGAUCUGUAGCUGGUCUGAGAGGACGACAAGCCACACUGGAACUGAGACACGGUCCAGACUCCUACGGGAGGCAGCAGUGGGGAAUUUUGGACAAUGGGCGAAAGCCUGAUCCAGCAAUGCCGCGUGAAGGAUGAAGGCCUUCGGGUUGUAAACUGCUUUUGUACGGAACGAAACGGUGAGCUCUAAUACAGUUUGCUAAUGACGGUACCGUAAGAAUAAGCACCGGCUAACUACGUGCCAGCAGCCGCCGUAA